AUUGAACGCUGGCGGCAGGCCUAACACAUGCAAGCCGAGCGAGCGGCGGACGGGCGAGUAAUGUAUGGGGACUGCCCGAUAGAGGGGGAUAACCACUGGAAACGGAAGCUAAUACCGCAUACUAUCGGAUAACCCAUAUGGGAUUAGGUAGUAGGUGAGGUAAUGGCUCACCUAGGCGACGAUCCCUAGCUGGUCUGAGAGGAUGAUCAACCACACUGAGACUGAGAAACAGCCCAGGCUCCUACGGAGGCAGCAGUGGGGAAUAUUGCACAAUGGGCGAAAGCCUGAUGCAGCCAUGCCGCGUGUAUGAAGAAGGCCCUAGGGUUGUAAAGUAAGUUCAGUCGGGAGGCGUUACCGACAGAAGAAGCACCGGCUAACUCCGUGCCAGGCGCAGCGGUAAUUC
rnacentral:rRNA from 1 species